GGUCUAGAGAAGCAAUAGAUGGUUGGCAGAGAAGCUGAAACGACUCGACCUCUACCAGGGCUCAGCUUUCUCAUCACUGAACUGGAGAUACAGGAGUUGGAGACUUGGAAUCCCCUUUGGUGCAGAAACUAUUCCUUCAUGAGAAGAAGUCCUUAAAUAGGCUCUUUAGACAGGAGGCCACAUGUUGAAGGCAGCAGGGUCACAAGAUGGAAGAACCAGGGUCCCAGCAUCAUCGCUCCCUGCUUCAAGCUACCAGGGGCAGCCUAACCCACAUGGCAUUAUGACAUAAGAAACAAAGUAACUAUUGUUUUAUUAAAUCAAUGAGAUAUUGGGCUUCUUGUUAUAGCAACUAGUAUAAAUUGCCCUGACUGAUACAUUAUGGAUUUAGAGUGCACUGUACUACAACUGUUUGUUGUAUUUUCAAAAUUGUGGUAUAACUGACUUACAAUAAACUUCAUAUAUUUAAAGAGUA